AACGCACGAGACCUGCGGACCUGCGGAGGGAUCAUUAGUGAACGCCCUCACGGGCUUAUAACUAUUCCAAACCUCUGUGAACCGUGCCCUUCGGGGCUAUUUUACAAACAUGGUGUAAUGAACGCCAUAUAUCAUAACAAAACAAAACUUUUAACAACGGAUCUCU
rnacentral:misc_RNA from 1 species